UCGGGUAGCGAAGUAAACAAUAAAAAUAGACAUUCCACACGGCGUAUCACAUUUAACAAACCAAACAUUCCAAAAAAUGUUCUUAACUGACUUACCCAGUUAAAUAAAGCUUACAUUUUAAAAAAUGAAAUAAAGAUGGGGAUGAAUGACACUGGUAGCUAGACAGUGUCCUUUGCCCACGCCGAACACUGCUUUCCUGCAGUUCUACGUCUGUGUCCCAAGGAUCCCGGAUAGCAAGGACAUCACAUAUUACAUCGCUUCCUCACAGCUUCAAAAGCCUGACCCUGAGCAACUACCAACGAGCUGAAGUAGAUGUGCCUGUACCAGUUGAGGAUGAGUUGGUUGUGCCUGUAUCAGCGUCAGCAGUUGUGGAUGAGUUGGUUGUGCCUGUAUCGGCGUCAGCAGUUGUGGAUGAGUUGGUUGUGCCUGUAUCGGUGUCAGCAGUUGAGGAUGAGUUGGUUGCAGAUUCAUCACCACCAUCAACAACUCUGAAGAAUCGUGGAACACAGUGUAAAUGGAACCUACACCGCUCAAAAGCCCCCCAUCAGCUGCACUGUGAGCAGAAGGGGAGUGCAAAUAUGAAGCAGGAGGAUGCAGAGCCCACACCGUUUAGAGAGGAACAGGUCUCUGAAACCUCAGUGUUCUUAUUCACGCCUUCCAGCGUGAAAAGUGAAUCUGAUAAUGAUCAGGACCCAUCUUAUGCUUCACAUCUUUACCAAACCCAAAGUGAAGAAAACCCAGAGUGACGUCUACCCAACAACAUAAGUGCAGAGAUCAAAACAGAAGUUGAUGGAGAGGACUACAGAGUAUAGGAACCAACCGGUGACUCUCAGCCCCUCUGCAGCAAACCCAAACUGUUCUGCAGUAAAGAGUGAAAACGGGGAUUGUGUUGAUGGGGAGGCAAAUGGAGGACUUAUCUCAAAACUAAAGCCACUCGAAUCAACUCGGGCAACUCGGGCAGUAAUCCCGUCUGGAUUACUGCAACUCGCUGUUGGCUGGGCUCCCUGCCUGUGCCAUUAAACCCCUACAACUCAUCCAGAACGCCGCAGCCCGUCUGGUGUUCAACCUU